rnacentral:rRNA from 1 species
AGUGAACGCUGGCGGUAGGCCUAACACAUGCAAGUCGAACGGCAGCACAGGAGAGCUUGCUCUCUGGGUGGCGAGUGGCGGACGGGUGAGGAAUACAUCGGAAUCUACUUUGUCGUGGGGGAUAACGUAGGGAAACUUACGCUAAUACCGCAUACGACCUACGGGUGAAAGCAGGGGAUCUUCGGACCUUGCGCGAUUGAAUGAGCCGAUGUCGGAUUAGCUAGUUGGCGGGGUAAAGGCCACCAAGGCGACGAUCCGUAGCUGGUCUGAGAGGAUGAUCAGCCACACUGGAACUGAGACACGGUCCAGACUCCUACGGGAGGCAGCAGUGGGGAAUAUUGGACAAUGGGCGCAAGCCUGAUCCAGCCAUACCGCGUGGGUGAAGAAGGCCUUCGGGUUGUAAAGCCCUUUUGUUGGGAAAGAAAUCCAGCCGGCUAAUACCUGGUUGGGAUGACGGUACCCAAAGAAUAAGCACCGGCUAACUUCGUGCCAGCAGCCGCGGUAAUACGAAGGGUGCAAGCGUUACUCGGAAUUACUGGGCGUAAAGCGUGCGUAGGUGGUUAUUUAAGUCCGUUGUGAAAGCCCUGGGCUCAACCUGGGAACUGCAGUGGAUACUGGAUGACUAGAAUGUGGUAGAGGGUAGCGGAAUUCCUGGUGUAGCAGUGAAAUGCGUAGAGAUCAGGAGGAACAUCCAUGGCGAAGGCAGCUACCUGGACCAACAUUGACACUGAGGCACGAAAGCGUGGGGAGCAAACAGG